CCAGUGGGAGGGGGGCGGAGCCGCAGGGAGCGGCAGUGGCGCUGAGCAGGCUGCAGCGGAAUGGCGGCGAGCACAGAGCGGCAGGCAGGCAGGGCCUUUCGGGCCAGAGGGAAGCCUCACGCGUUCCCCGGCAGAGCUGCGUUCUUUUUCUCUCGCAGCAGAGGAGUUUGGGCAGGUCUGAGACGCGUUUUACCGCAGCUGCCGUGCUUGGAGAGUACAAGCCCUCAGUCGUGUGCGGUGAUGGUGCUGUGCAGGCCAAGGCAGGCUUUGAGCAGGCUGUCCGAAGGAAGCAGCUGUCUGGUCCUGGCAGAAGCUGGAGCGGAAGCUGGAAGCCCAGCACAGGUCUCUCCAGCAAGCAUGAAAUGAGCUGAAGGAGCAUCAGCAGCAGCAUGGCCAUUCUCCCAGGCAGCAGGAUGUUUCAGCCAAGCACAAGCUCAUCUGGGAGGAGCAAAUCCCCCCACGAGAUGCAAGUGGCAAAAGAGGCUGGGUCAGCUCUUUAUUAUGUUAUGCUCAAGGAAUCUGCGCAAGGCUGCCCCGGGAGGUGGUGGAGUCACUGUGCCUGGAGGUGUCCAAGCAGCGAGAUGGAGGUGCACCCUCAGCAGAGAAUGAAGAUCAUGGAGGGGAAACUGAGGUGACUUCAGAGCAGAGAAGUGAUAUUUUGGAGGAAAAAGCUGAACAGGUCUAUUGGGAAGGAAACGAAAACUCUGGAGGAAAAAUCUGAGCCCAAUGCUGAGCCUCUUUGCGAAGCCUCUUGCUUAGCGAUUCCAUGCCUCUCCCACCAUCCGUGGGCAUCGAUCUGGAGAAGAGGAGACGGGUGAGGCGCUCUGGGCAAAGGGAGUCGCCCCUGACCGAAGGUGUGGUAAGACGACAGCUUGGCCGUCGCAUUGACCGUGGCCUGGGUGGCUUUGCGCUGGGCGACGUCCAUGUAAGUAGGACUCGGUGUUUGCUUGUGCCAUCGUUUGCGUUUUGCUGCUUUGCUCCUUUGGCUGCCCGGAGCCCGGCUGCCCUGUAAGGAGGGCACGAGGCGGUGUCUCGACGCCGGUGGGGGAAGGGGAUCAACCUGGCCCGCGAGCCCCCCCUGUAAGCGGGGUAGGGUCCUUUCCGCAGCCCCGGCAGCUUGUCAGCUGUCGUCUGCCUGUGCAGCGUGACCCCCUGUACUCGGGGCGUGUUGCAGCUGUUGUCCUUCGGCCGCCCCUGAGGGCCUUUGGUGUCCCGAGGCCUCCCUGAGCUCCACACAGUCUGGCGAGGCCAAGUCUGACCCUCUUCUCUCCUGCUGCGGGGUAAGGAUGGCUGUCCCAAUGGUGGCUGCCCAGAGCUUGCUCCCUCUCCUGGGAAGAGGUGUGCGUAUGGCCCCCCCUUGCCUCUGUGUGCGUGUGCUUGUGUGCCUGAGCGUGCCUGUUGUGUAGGUUGCUGUGAAAAGUGCUGCAGCUUAGGUUAGGCUUCCCAGGAGGGAAAGAGGGGCUCUGGGCAGUAACAGGGGAGUCUCCUUGGAGUGCCCGAGCAGAGUGGGAGCUCAGCUUGCCCCUGCCUGUCCUGUAGGGACACAGCGAAGGCCCUGUAGUUGAGGGCCUGGGCGUCUGCCUCCGUGGCAGCCUGUCCUGUUGUCAAGGUGUCAGCUCAACAGCCCUGUAGUCGGGGCCUGUGUGAUGAGGUGUGGAGCCUUCUGUCCCCCUCUGUCCCUAUGUGUCGCCAGGAGCGGCCCGAGGUCCCUGUAAGCAGGGCCUCGGAGGCUGUUUCGGGCCGCUAAGAGGAGCGCGCCUUCCUGGGCCCUUAGAGGGUGGAGGCGGCUCCCUGGGCUCCUGAAGAGGUGUUGCUGUGCUGCAGGCAGGGGGGCCGGCCCGUAAGUUGGGCGCAGGCCGGAGCCCGUGGCCCCGUAGGCGUUUUUGGGAGCGCCGAGGCGAGAGCGGCCGCCCUGUAAGUAGGGCUGUGCGUCGCGGUGCCCGGCGGGAGGUUGGAGGGAACCCCCCUGUAAUCAGGGUGGGUAUGUCUGGCCCCAGGCUUUCAGAGGCGUGGCGUCAGGUUUGUUUGGCUUAGCGAGUACACCUCGGCCCCAGGCUUGGAGUUGGGGGGUCUCCCGCCGUGACCCAGGCCCUUGGCUGUGAAAGCCCGCUGCCUGGCGACUGAGUCUGCUUCCUGUAGCUGCGGGGCUAGGCCAAGCUCUCGACUCCCUGGCGUCGACCCACCCGUCAGCGGUCCCCGGUCCCCGUGCCUUUGCGCUCAGCUGGCAGCCCGUGCGGGGUGCCCGCCUCCUUAGCGGGGUGCUGGUGUAGUUGCCCCUAAAAUGGAGAGAAGGAGCCUCCGUGGGCCCCUGGGAGCAGGGCUGCCCUGUCGGUCGGGGCCCGCUCAGUGCCCUGGCGUCCCAGGCGCUUUUUGAUGGCAGCGGCGACUGCGGGGCGCUGUAAGCAGGAUCGUGCGGCCUCCGCGGCGGCUGCUUUGCGUGCCCAGCUGGAUUUGUGCGGGGCUGCCGCCUCGCAGCCCGUCUCCAGUCCUGACCGGGAGUGUGCCGUGCGCCGCUUGGGUGAGACGAGGCAAAGUGGGAGGGCUUUGCGGCGCUGGGGGUCUGCCUGCGGGUGGGAAGCUGGCUGGGCGGUGCCCGUUUCCCGUGGGUGCGGCGGAGGAGGCGCCAGUGAGGCCUAAGCCGGCCCUCCUUGCUCUGCGUCGGCUGGCACCGGCAGCGGAAGAGGCACGGCACGGAACGUCGAGGCAAGAGGCGUCGAGAAGAGGAGGGGCGUCGGUCUGGAGAAGAGGAGACGGGCGAGGCGCUCUGGGCAAAGGGAGUCGCCCCUGACCGAAGGUGUGGUAAGAUGAGAGCUUGGCCGUCGCCUUGAGCGUGGCCUGGGUGGCUUUGCGCUGGGCGACCUCCCUGUAAGCAGGACUCGGUCUUUGCUUGUGCCGUCGUUUGCCUUUUGGUGGUUUGGUCCUUUGGCUGCCCGGAGCCCGGCUGCCCUGUAAGGAGGGCACGAGGCGGUGUCUCGACGCCGGUGGGGGAAGGGGAUCAACCUGGCCCGCGAGCCCCCCCUGUAAGCGGGGUAGGGUCCUUUCCGCAGCCCCGGCAGC